ACUUUGUUAGGUCAAUCGGUAGAGCGUGAGACUCUUAUAAAUGGAUUUCAAGAUUGCGGGUUCGACCUCCGCGUGGGGCU